rnacentral:lncRNA from 1 species
CGAUAUUAAGGGGGGGGGGGCUUUUAUUUUGAAAUGUGUUCCUUCUCACGCUUGCCGCAAUGUUCAGUGUAUGCGCGCUCUGAGAAACAGCUCUGAGAAACGCUGAACCACUGGCUUGACCGCAGUGGUUCAGCGCAGGCGUCUCCCAGCGCGAUUGCUUGGCUCCCAGACAGCGCGGCCGCCCUCCCUGCCGGUGAGGCCGAUCUAAUAUCGAAUUAAUACAUGGUUCCCUCGGUUUAAUUUAGUAUUCCCUCUAUUAAAUGUAUUCUUCUCUUGAUUUAUUUUUUUGUUCCCUCUAUUUAAUUUAUUAUUUACUUAAUUUAUUCAUUGUUCCCUCGAUCUAUUUCACUGUUCGAUUCAAUUUAUUGUUCCCUCGAUUCAUUCAUCGUUCCCUUGAUCUAUUUCACUGUUCAACUUUAUUUAUGUUCCCUCCAUUUAAUUUGUUACCUCUAUUUAAUUCUUCGUUCCCUUUAUUUAUUUAAUUAUCCCUUUAUUCAUUUCCCCUUGAUUUAUGUCACUGUUGUCUCAAUCUGUUCCCUCGAUCUUUUAGUUCCCUCAAUCUUUUUCACUGUUAGAUUUAAUUUAUUGUUCCCUCUAUUUAAUUGUUACCUCGGUCUAUUUCUCAGUUUCCUCGAUCUAUUUCUCGUUCGGUUGAAUUUAUUGUUCCCUCUAUUUAAUUGUUUCCCUCUGCUCAUUGUUAACUCUGUCUAUUUCUCCGUUCGAUUUAAUUUAUUGUUCCCUUUAUUUAAUUGUUUCCCUCUGCUCAUUGUUAACUCGGUCUAUUUUUCCGUUCUAUUUAAUUUAUUGUUCCCUCUAAUUAAUUGUUUCCCUCUGCUCAUUGUUAACUACGUCUAUUUCUCCGUUCACUCAAUCUAUUUCUCUGUUCGAUUUAUUUUAUUGUUCCCUCUAAUUCAUUGUUCCCUCGAAUUACUCAUCGUUCCCUCGUUCUAUUCCACUAUUAGAUUUAAUGUAUUGUUCCCUCUAUUUAAUUCCUUGUUUCUUUUAUUUAAUUCGAUUCCUUUUUAUUUGUUUCCUCUAUAUUUAGUGUUCCCUCAAAUUAUUUCAUUGUUCCCUUGAUCUUAUUUCAUUGUUUCACCGAUUUAAAUUUAUUGUUUCCUCAAUUUGAUUAAUUGUUUUCUCGAUUCUUUUAUUACCUCGAU